rnacentral:rRNA from 1 species
GAUCCUGGCUUAGAACGAACGCUGGUGGCGUGUCUUAUACAUGCAAGUCGAGCGAGGCAGCAAUGCCGAGCGGCGAACGGGUGAGUAACGCGUAAGCAAUCUGCCCCAUAUCAGGAAAUACCCGUGCCAACGCGCGGUUAAUGUCCAGGAGAGUGGCCCUCUGCAUGGAGGGUUGACUAGAGAUUUAUCGGUAUGGGAUGAGCUUGCGUCCGAUUAGCUAGUUGGCGGGGCAACGGCCCACCAAGGCGACGAUCGGUAGCCGGCCUGAGAGGGUGAUCGGCCACAUUGGGACUGAGAUACGGCCCAGACUCCUACGGGAGGCAGCAGUAGGGAAUAUUGCACAAUGGGGGAAACCCUGAUGCAGCAACGCCACGUGUGGGAAGAAGCAUUUCGGUGUGUAAACCACUGUCAUGAGGGAAUAAGGCCCGCCUACGGACGGGAUUGAAUGUACCUUGAGAGGAAGCACCGGCAAACUUCGUGCCAGCCGCUGC